rnacentral:rRNA from 1 species
UACGUAGGGUGCGAGCGUUAAUCGGAAUUACUGGGCGUAAAGCGUGCGCAGGCGGUUUUGUAAGCCAGAUGUGAAAUCCCCGGGCUUAACCUGGGAAUGGCAUUUGGGACUGCAAGGCUUGAGUGCGGCAGAGGAGACUGGAAUUCCUGGUGUAGCAGUGAAAUGCGUAGAUAUCAGGAGGAAUACCGAUGGCGAAGGCAGGUCUCUGGGCUGACACUGACGCUCAUGCACGAAAGCGCGGGGAGCAAACAGG